rnacentral:rRNA from 1 species
GAUGAACGCUAGCUACAGGCUUAACACAUGCAAGUCGAGGGGCAGCGCAGUGUAGCAAUACACGGGCGGCGACCGGCGCACGGGUGCGUAACGCGUAUCCAACCUUCCCGUUACUCAGGGAUAGCCUUCCGAAAGGGAGAUUAAUACCUGAUGGUGUUUGAAUUCCGCAUGUUAUUCAAACUAAAGAUUUAUCGGUAACGGAUGGGGAUGCGUGACAUUAGAUAGUAGGCGGCGUAACGGCCCACCUAGUCUACGAUGUCUAGGGGUUCUGAGAGGAAGGUCCCCCACACUGGAACUGAGACACGGUCCAGACUCCUACGGGAGGCAGCAGUGAGGAAUAUUGGUCAAUGGUCGGAAGACUGAACCAGCCAAGUAGCGUGAAGGAUGAAGGUUCUAUGGAUUGUAAACUUCUUUUAUACGGGAAUAAAGCCCACUACGUGUAGUGGUUUGUAUGUACCGUAUGAAUAAGCAUCGGCUAACUCCGUGCCAGCCGCCGCCGUAACAC